GUUGCCUUGAUCUUUUAUUUAUUUAUUUUUCUGCUUCAGGUGGGUUUUUUGAGGAAGAAAUGACGAGGAAGAAGGACAACUAAAAGGCCCUGCCUUAGCAGCCUUUCAGAGACCUUUAAAGCUAUGAAAAAUAAAAAAAACCAAGUGCUGUCCUUCCUUUAAUUUCACCCCCAUAUUCCUUAGUCCAUCCCUGGAUUUUCCUCCUUCUGUGUUUGCAGUGCGUUUUGACUUCCAAUGUGAACUGCUUACCACCAUCUGACACAAGCACUGACAAAUCUGUGCUAUCCUGCUAUAUAAUAUUUGCUGUCCUUAAUCUUUGUUAUUCUGCUUCUUUUAUACACAGUUAACGCUGGCAGAUCCGACUGUCAACCAGUCGCUUUUAUUCUUCGUGUUAUCUAGUUGCCCCUUUAUCUCAGGGGAAACAAAUAUCAUAAAAAGCUGUGUAUUUUCGGAGUACUGUUCCAUCUUAGCUUCAGUUUUUUCUGUGCGAGGACUCACUGGAAAACAAUACGCUGCAUGGUGCAAAACUCUGUUUUCUUCCCCUGAAAUAUGCACCUAGCUUAACUGUUUCUUCCUCAGCAGAGGACAAGCUGCAGAAGGUUUCCGGUCCAUCCUUGAGAAGCUUCUCCUAUCGUGGUUUUCAAAGUUUCCUCGUAGGAUGCUCAUCCUUUGUUGAACAACUCUCAUUACCGGUACGUAGUUUGACAAUAACAUCUAUUUGUUAAAGCUUUGACUUCCCCCAGCGUUCAUCCAGACGUGUGGGGAGGUUUUGUUUGUGUUACGGGGUUGUUUAGCAAAAACCUUCCUAGAAGUGGCAUGAGUUUGGUAAAGUGGUUUGGUAAAUAAUUGAUUAAAACAAGAGCAUUCAGUUGAAAUUAGGCUCAGUGAAAUUCAGGAGAAUGUGGGGGUGGUAAAAAUAAUUUUAAAUUGAGAUUCUUUAGGAAAAGUAAGGCCAAAACUUUCCCCCUUCAGUCUGUGAUUCACAGUUAACCUGCAGUUAAAAUUUAUAGAUGCUAAGAGUGUUUAUUAUGUCAAACUUCUCUGUUGAUUCUCAUGUCAGUUCUGUUUCUCACUCUUGUAGCAGUCAGUCCCUGAACCUUGAAUCUCUUUCAAAAUUCUGAGGUAUUUGAAAUUUAGAUUUAAAAUGUUUUGUGCCUCAGGGCUGUUCCUACUUCACAUGUUC
rnacentral:lncRNA from 1 species